rnacentral:lncRNA from 1 species
ACUAAUCUAGUUUGAAAUCAAGAAUCUUAAGUAGAAUCUCAACUCAUUAGGUCUCUGAAUCUUAACAAGCUGAUUCAAAUUGCAUUUUCACCCCUAACUAUUAAAAAUAAAAAAAGUAAAAAAUAAAAAGAGACACCAAAUCUGGUCCGCUAAUCUUAUAAAUUGUAGAGUCUUAAUUAGCUCUUAUUUCUCACGUUAAAAUAGAUUUUUAUUAUAACUCCUCC